UACGUAGGGUGCGAGCGUUUAAUCGGAAUUACUGGGCGUAAAGCGUGCGCAGGCGGUUCGUCGUGUCCGAUGUGAAAGCCCCGGGCUCAGCCCGGGAAGUGCGCUCGAAACUGCGCGGCUCGAGUGCCGGAGGGGAGAGUGGAAUUCCUGGUGUAGCGGUGAAAUGCGUAGAUAUCAGGAGGAAUACCGGUGGCGAAAGCGACUCUCUGGACCGUA
rnacentral:rRNA from 1 species